GGGGCGAAUCCGUAGCGGCAGCAUCAAUGGAUUGCGAGCCGGAGGAGCUCCAGUUCCUGGGCGUCGUCGGCAUCUACCGGGAGGCGGCCAAGAUCCUGGCGAGGUGGCGCCGCCUCUUCGUCAAGAUCGCCGGCGCCCUCGUCCUCCCUCUUUCCAUCCUCUUCUUCGUCCACAUCGCUAUUUCCCACCGCCUCUUCUCCACCAUCGACUCCGACGAGUCCGCCCUCGAUGACGCCCCCCCGGGAUCCACCUCCGAGUCCUCCGCCCUCCAGCGGCUCGUCUCCGACUGGUCCGCCUUCCUCCUUUUUAAGGGUUUCUACCUCGUCGCCCUCCUCGUCCUCGCCCUCCUCUCCACCGCCGCUGUCGUCUACUCCGUCGCCUCCAUCUACACCGCCCGGGGCGAUCUCGCCUUCCGCAAGGUGCUCACCGUCGUCCCCCGCGUCUGGCGCCGCCUGAUGGUCACCUUCCUCUGGGCCUUCCUCGUCCUCCUCGCCCUCAACUCCGCCACCAUCGCGCUCCUCGUCUUCAUCCUCCUCAUGGGUGGCAACUCCUCCACGGGCCCCGUCCUCACCAUCUUAGUCGUCAUCCCGCUCUACCUAGUUGCCCUCGUCUACGUCAGCGUCGUCUGGCACCUGGCCAGCGUGGUCUCCGUGCUGGAAGACGCCCGCGGGCUGGAGGCGAUGCGGCGGAGUCGACGG
rnacentral:lncRNA from 1 species